UGAACGCUGGCGGCGUGCCUCACACAUGCAAGUCGAACGGAGUCGUUUUGGAAAUCUCUUCGGAGAUGGAAUUCUCGACUUAGUGGCGGACGGGUGAGUAACGCGUGAGCAAUCUGCCUUUAAGAGGGGGAUAACAGUCGGAAACGGCUGCUAAUACCGCAUAAAGCAUUAAAUUCGCAUGUUUUUGAUGCCAAAGGAGCAAUCCGCUUUUAGAUGAGCUCGCGUCUGAUUAGCUAGUUGGCGGGGUAACGGCCCACCAAGGCGACGAUCAGUAGCCGGACUGAGAGGUUGAACGGCCACAUUGGGACUGAGACACGGCCCAGACUCCUACGGGAGGCAGCAGUGGGGAAUAUUGCGCAAUGGGGGAAACCCUGACGCAGCAACGCCGCGUGAUUGAAGAAGGCCUUCGGGUUGUAAAGAUCUUUAAUCAGGGACGAAACAAAUGACGGUACCUGAAGAAUAAGCUCCGGCUAACUACGUG
rnacentral:rRNA from 1 species